UGAGAUACAAUGAAUUUAUGUUAUUUUAUCGUGAUAUAUCGUUUUAUGAAAUUUAUGAAUUGUAACAUAUAUGUUUUAAAUAAAAGAAGGCUUGCAAUAUUUUUGGUAUCGGUUGGGCUAGUGUGUUAGGAAUGGUUUUACUUACAGAGUUGACGGCUCACCCCUCGUCAUUACUUUUUGUAGAUUAAGUUCCGUUUGAAAGGUGUGCCUAGCCUUGGAGUUAGUAUGGUAUUGGAGGUGAUUGAGACAUUUAGAGACUUAGAGGUGUGUUAGUUCAAAUCCCUUUAUCAAGGUAAGUGACUUCAUUCCUAAUAUACUGGAUAUGUAUAAGUAUUUUGAUAUUAUUAUAAGAGUUUUUUUUAUACUAUUUAGAAGAUCAAUGGAUUUUCAUCACAAAAUCAGUUUAUGAAAAUGUUUUCAAAUUUAAAUCAUUUUAACAAAAUAUUUCAUAAAUGCUUUUCAAUAUGUAAAUUAUUUUAUGACAUGACUAUCUUUUAUAAUUUUGUCUAUAAAAUAUUCUGCAAGCCUCAAUUAUUGUUAUGGACUUUUUAUGAAUCUGAUACGAAUGUUUUGUACCCAUGUCUAAUUUCAAUUAUUGAUGAUUGUGUGGGAUUCCUAAUGUUUUGGCUCAUUGUCCAUAGUUAUUUUGAUUCUGAUUCUGAUCGUAAUAUACGAUAUAUCUGUCUGGACCAGUACUGGGUUUCUGUUCUGAGUGUGCACACGAUAUUCUGAAUUCUGUUUCUGGCCAGGUCACUGGGACUAUAGGUGACACUAUGUGACAUGAGCUAUUAUAUGUUUUCUGUGAAUGUGAUAUCUGAUUUACUUUCAUAAGUAACUAUGCUUUUGAUAUUAUGAGAUACAAUGAAUUUAUGUUAUUUUAUCGUGAUAUAUCGUUUUAUGAAAUUUAUGAAUUGUAACAUAUAUGUUUUAAAUAAAAGAAGGCUUGCAAUAUUUUUGGUAUCGGUUGGGCUAGUGUGUUAGGAAUGGUUUUACUUACAGAGUUGACGGCUCACCCCUCGUCAUUACUUUUUGUAGAUUAAGUUCCGUUUGAAAGGUGUGCCUAGCCUUGGAGUUAGUAAUUUCAUUUCCGUUUGCUAUUUGAAUAAGAAG
rnacentral:lncRNA from 1 species